ensembl:snRNA LOC120096747 U6 spliceosomal RNA
GUGAGCCUAGCCUUUCAGCAGCACAUAUACUAAAAUUGGAACAACACAGAGAAGAUUAGUCUGGCCCCUGUGCAAGGAUGGCACACAAAUUUGUGAAGCGUUCCAUAUUUUU